AAUCCGUGAUGUGGACAUAUGUUCAUCAGGUCCUUAAAUCUCUCCCAACAAGCUUGGAAGGUCUCAUCAACUCCUUGCAUGAAUCUUCUGAUCUGUUCCUUCAAAAAU